CAGCCGCCGCGGUAAUACCGGCGGCCCGAGUGGCGGUCACUAUUAUUGGGCUUAAAGCGUCCGUAGCCGGGUUGGGAAGUCCUCCGGGAAAUCUGGCCGCUUAACGGUCAGAAUGCCGGAGGAUACUCCCAGCCUAGGGAGCGGGAGAGGCCGAGGGGAUUCCCGGGGUAGGGGGGAAAUCCUAUAAUCCCGGGAGGACCACCUGUGGCGAAGGCGCUCGGCUGGGACGCGUCCGACGGUGAGGGACGAAGGCCAGGGGAGCAAACCGGAUUAGAUACCCGGGUAGUCCUGGCUGUAAACGAUGCGGACUUUGUGUCGGACAAGCUAUGAGCUUGUCCGGUGCCGGAGGGAAACCGUUAAGUCCGCCGCCUGGGGAGUACGGCCGCAAGGCUGAAACUUAAAGGAAUUGGCGGG
rnacentral:rRNA from 1 species